GGUUGUGGUUCAGUGGUAGAGGGCUCACCUAGCACGCGUGAGGUGCUGGGUUCGAUUCUCAGCACCA
rnacentral:tRNA from 1 species